GACGAACGCUGGCGGCGUGCUUAACACAUGCAAGUCGAACGGAAAGGCCCUGCUUUUGUGGGGUGCUCGAGUGGCGAACGGGUGAGCAACACGUGAGUAACCUGCCCUUGACUUUGGGAUAACUUCAGGAAACUGGGGCUAAUACCGGAUAGGAGCUCCUGCUGCAUGGUGGGGGUUGGAAAGUUUCGGCGGUUGGGGAUGGACUCGCGGCUUAUCAGCUUGUUGGUGGGGUAGUGGCUUACCAAGGCUUUGACGGGUAGCCGGCCUGAGAGGGUGACCGGCCACAUUGGGACUGAGAUACGGCCCAGACUCCUACGGGAGGCAGCAGUGGGGAAUAUUGCACAAUGGGCGGAAGCCUGAUGCAGCAACGCCGCGUGCGGGAUGACGGCCUUCGGGUUGUAAACCGCUUUCGCCCGUGACGAAGCGUGAGUGACGGUAAUGGGUAAAGAAGCACCGGCUAACUACGUG
rnacentral:rRNA from 1 species